AAUGAACGCUGGCGGCAGGCCUAACACAUGCAAGUCGAACGGAUCCUUCGGGAUUAGUGGCGGACGGGUGAGUAACGCGUGGGAACAUACCCAAAGGUACGGAAUAGCCUCGGGAAACUGGGAGUAAUACCGUAUGCGCUCGAAAGAGGAAAGAUUUAUCGCCUUUGGAUUGGCCCGCGUUGGAUUAGGUAGUUGGUGGGGUAAUGGCCUACCAAGCCGACGAUCCAUAGCUGGUUUGAGAGGAUGAUCAGCCACACUGGGACUGAGACACGGCCCAGACUCCUACGGGAGGCAGCAGUGGGGAAUCUUAGACAAUGGAGGAAACCUUGAUCUAGACAUGCCGCGUGAUCGAUGAAGGCCUUAGGGUUGUAAGGAUCUUUCAGGUGGGAAGAUAAUGACUGUACCACCAGAAGAAGCCCCGGCUAACUCCGUGCCAGCCGCCGCAGUAA
rnacentral:rRNA from 1 species